GAUGAACGCUGGCGGCGUGCUUAACACAUGCAAGUCGAACGGUGAAGGCGGAGCUUGCUCUGCUGGAUCAGUGGCGAACGGGUGAGUAACACGUGAGCAAUCUGCCCCUGACGCUGGGAUAAGCGCUGGAAACGGCGACUAAUACUGGAUACGAGCUGCGAAGGCAUCUUCAGCAGCUGGAAAGAAUCUCGGUAAGGGAUGAGCUCGCGGCCUAUCAGCUUGUUGGUGAGGUAAUGGCUCACCAAGGCGUCGACGGGUAGCCGGCCUGAGAGGGUGACCGGCCACCCUGGGACUGCGACACGGCCCAGAGUCCUACGGGAGGCAGCAGUGGGGAAUAUUGCCCAAUGGGCGCAAGCCUGAUGCAGCAACGCCGCGUGUGUGGCGACGGCCUUCGUGUUGUAAACCUCUUUUAGCAGGGAAGAAGCGAAAGUGACGGUACCUGCAGAAAAAGCGCCGGCUAACUACGUG
rnacentral:rRNA from 1 species